ACACCCCAAACUGGGGGCUGCCAGCAUCGCUCGGGGCAGGCUGAGCCAACCCAUUUAAUUUGCACAGGGUUUGCUUUGCAAAUGCUCUUUUGAAUAUGCUACUGAGAAAUGCCCCAUUUCUCUGGCUUUUCUUCCAGGGCCUGGGACACGUCCCGUUCCCCAAACAGGCCCCGAACGGAGUCACCCAGCAAGCGCCAGCACCGUGAAUAGUCGCAGCACAAAUUCCUCGUGUCAGCUCUUCUGUAACUGAUGUCCCCCCCGCGCCAAGCAGCUCCAGGACCUGCUGCUGCUGCUCCCGGCCGAGCUUUCCAAGGCAGCUUCAAAGAAGCAACAAAGUGAUGAGCACUUCUAAUGGCCUCACUUUGUGUGUUUUAACCUGGGAGAUAGACAUCCACUGUGUGGGCUGGGUAACAGGUGAUGCACUCUCAAGUAAAUAUAUACACACUGAAGAGGAAUGUGGAAACCCUUCUAGGGUUUAUUUAACGUGCUACGGAGAUACAAGGUUAUGACUCUUCCAGAAAAACUAGAGGAACUAGCUCUGAUCCUUCAGAAAAGAAAAAGGGGCUUUGAGUCGUUUACAAAAAAUAAAGGCAAGAAUUGAGACCUCUAAAUAUCUUUUAUCACCUUCAAAUACUGCGGCUAAGCUGCACAAGCGGGGAUCCAGUUACACCCUGAACAUUGCCUUUCAUGCAAAACCCAUCUCCGUAUGCUUCAGGGCCCUAAUUAGGGUGUUAUGACCAAGAGAAAAAGAAAAAAAAAUCAGAGAUGUGAGCAAGCAUGGGUUCAGAUAAGCUUUGAGUAAGGUGGGAGAGGCAGUGAAGCGGAGAGCUAAUGUCAUCUCCCGGUAGGGGUCAAGAAUUUAAGCCCUGAGUGUGCAGGAUGGGUGGGCCCAGAAGGAAUGCCAGAUGACUUUAAAUAGCAGAAGGAGCUAACGUACAGACGAGAUGCCAUGGGGGAGAACACAAGCAGCUCGCAGAGCAAGAUUUCUGCCGUCUCUUUUUAAAAAAUGAGUUACAGAAGGCAGGGAAAAAUACUGCGAGGUGAAUGCCGAGGGGGCAGAUUCGUGCAGACUCCUUACCUCUGUCAUUGGAUGGGCUGUCUCCCGGAGCACGCUACCGUAUGAUUAGUUCUUGAAUUAAUUAGGAGCAUAACGAGCGGCCCAUCCUCCCUGUGGUCAGUGCUCUGAACCUCAUUAGCACCAGCGCACAGCCCAUUAGCAGGAGGCUUGCAACAUCAAACCCUCCGAAGGCUGGCUGGUGAGCAGGACGGGAUUUGGCAGCCUCUAACAAGUGCAAGAGCUGCAAGCAUCCCUGGGGAUGAAGACCUGCGCAUGCGAAGGCCUGACAGCGUGGCACACGGGAAGCUCCUCAGGGACCAUCCAGGCCCGUGGAGAAUACCAAGCAUUUUUUGCAGGCUUUCUCCUUCUGUCCUGCUGGAGAGCGCUGGCGUCGCUUUGAACUGCUCGGUGCUCGCGGUCUCGGGAUGUGUUGUUUCCCAGGGGCCAACAAGAGAGAACUUGCAAAUUGCUGAUAGCCAAGCAAAAAGAAAAAAAAGAAAAAAAAAAAAGAAAAAAAAAAAAGAAAAAAAAAAGGCAUGCAGUAACGUUUGGCUUUGCAGCUUAUUUUCUGAGGAAGGUGGUUUGGGGUUGCAUUUUCCCCCUGCAUUUUCACACAUAACUACAUUAGUAUAAUCUGAGUCAUGUCUGCGUAUUUACAAAGAAACAGAUCCCCAAGGAGUUUAUGGAUUUGUCAUCCCAGCGCUGAAUCCCGGAGAAUGAUCCUUCCAGACCAUAAUGAGAUAUUGUGUUUGCUUCUGGAGACAAAGCUUGCCUUUGGAUGCCCAUCCAGCUUUUCCAGAGACGUGAAUAAGAGUCAUGUGUACGUAACCCUGCUGCCAGGGCUUUGGGCAGCAGUGAGGGCUGGGUUCAAGCACUAAGGCAUCACUGCAAAACCUCUAGCUUGAGCUCACACCUGGGAAAAACAGGCUAAGCUAUCUGAUGGUCAGUCAUCUCUCUGCUUUCUCACACAGGAGUCAGAUGGGCAGCACAAAAUAUGCUUACUUCUGGAGAAAGGAGUAGUUGAACAAGGUAAUUAAACAGCAUCACAAUAACGAAUUCCUAAAUUGUAUUGGUUUCAAUUUCUCUUCCUUUGGGAUAAAGCUGCUUGGCAGCUUUCCUGCUGCUGCGUCACCUCCACUGGUGGUUUGAGAGUUGGUCUUGCAAAGACACGAGCCUGUGCUCUGCAAACAUGUCUCUGCUGCAUGCUGCUCUGCUGGGGCUUUCUGUCACUGCAGCUCCUGCUCAGGGCACAGGGAGCUGAUUGCAGAAGCUCUGAAGCCACAUCUACACAUCCCACACUCCUUGCAAGAAAUGGUCACCAGUGGUCUCCUGCAAUUGCUCUAUCCAGAGCUGUACCUUCCCUUUGCAGCUCAGAUGCUGAAAGCUGCGGGUUUAGGUUGAGGGAGCCACUCAUCCCAGGCUUCUUCUGCAAAAUUUUGUUGGCCACACUUGUGCACAUCAAUGCAAUCACCAACUUUCCUGCAUAUAAUGUUAUUUAAUCAGGUGCACCUCUCAGGCGUAAUAACGCAGCACAUGUAAACCAUAUCCUCUCCAGCCAUGGCCACUGUAUCUUUGUUUCAUUUUACCUGGUAGCAAACCCCUGGAUUUGGGCACUUCUGCCCAAAGGACAAGGAGAAGCUUUUAAGAUGCAUGUGGCUUUCUGUAGUAUGUGCAUUAUGUGCACCGUAUCUCCACCUGAGACUGGCUAAGCACGCAGGACCUCAGCUCUCCAGCUGAAUCAGUUGAGUUAUUUGCAUCCAGAACUGACAAGAAAGUGCAAGGAUCCCAGAAUCAAGUACAUCUGGAGCACAAUGUUCAUGGAUUAUUUUUUUUCCCUAAUCUUCAGCAGUUACUGAUUGGAUCACCCCUUGAAGUGGCUCGCAGACCAUUUCUUUCUCUCGAUGUUCCUGCUGGGCCUGUUGGUCACGUUAUUGCCCUCUGUCUGUGGAGUCAGGCUGAAAUAUCAGUUCCAGCACUGCCUUAUGGAAAUCACUGCCAUGAAUGAAGCACUUGCUGCUGCUGUCUCAGGAGAAACAAGAGGCCACAUAUCCAUGGUCCCGUGUGCAGGCAGAAUGAGAAAAUACCUGUUCAGUCAUGGCAGGCAAAGCCUGCAUUUUUCUCCAAAAGUAGUACUUCACUUUUGAAUGUUUAUACCUGCUGUCUGUCAUUUCCAUCUGAUGUCACUUUGCUCUGGUGUUAAAUAAAAGCAAAUAAUGUGUUCAGCUGAAUUUCUCUGUGUUACUUCAGCUGACAUGUUUUGUACUAUC